rnacentral:rRNA from 1 species
CUGCAUGGCUGUCGUCAGCUCGUGUCGUGAGAUGUUGGGUUAAGUCCCGCAACGAGCGCAACCCUUGUCUUUAAUUGCCAUCAUUUAGUUGGGCACUUUAAAGAGACUGCCGGUGUUAAGCCGGAGGAAGGUGGGGAUGACGUCAAGUCCUCAUGGCCUUUAUGCCCAGGGCUACACACGUGCUACAAUGGGCGGUACAAAGGGAAGCAACCUCGCGAGGGUGAGCAAAUCUCAAAAAGCCGUUCUCAGUUCGGAUUGAAGUCUGCAACUCGACUUCAUGAAGUCGGAAUCGCUAGUAAUCGCGGAUCAGCAUGCCCGCGGUCGAAUACGUUCCGGGCCUU